rnacentral:misc_RNA from 1 species
AGAAGGAUCAUUAGUGAAGAUUCAAGGGCCAGCCAUACAGACGUACAAUAAGUGUGUCUCUGGCGGCUCGCAUCCACUAUACAUCCAUAAACCCGUGUGCACUGUUCUAAGGAGUAAGAAAGAAGAAGAAGGGGGAGGGAGAGAGAGUGCAUGUGCUUUGCAUAUAACUCUCUCACUCUCCACUCUCUUUCUCUCUCUCUCCGGUUAAUUACAAACUCGUAUGGAUUUGUAUGAACGUGAGAUAUAUCGUUGGACCGUCACUGGCCAACAAAUAUAACACAACUUUCGACAACGGAUCUCUUGGUUCUCCCAUCGAUGAAGAACGCAGCGAAACGCGAUAGGUAAUGUGAAUUGCAGAAUUCCGUGAAUCAUCGAAUCUUUGAACGCACCUUGCGCUCUAUGGUAUUCCGUAGAGCAUGCCUGUUUGAGUGCCGUGAAUUCUCCCAUCCCAAGCGGUUUUUAUCAAAGAAUUGCUAGGCGAUGGGGUUGAGAUGGGCGUUAUUAUAACUGCUUUUCUUCUCUAGAAAAAGCUCGCCCGAAAAACAGCUAACGCCUCUGGGCCACUUUGCAUCCGCUUCUCUGAGGGGAGAAGCGGCCAAGCGCGCUCUGAUCAUCAGGCAUAGCAUGAUACGUCAUUUGCUAUGCUGUAGGAGAGCAUUUGGUUGUGGUUAUACCGCGUGCGUCAUUUUUUUUUCUUGCAAAGAGAAAAAAAAGCCCCCCUUUCAUUUCUGGUCUCAAAUCAGGUAGGAUCACCCGCUGAACUUAAGCAUAUCAAUAAGCGGAGGAAAAGAAACUAACAAGGAUUCCCCUAGUAACGGCGAGCGAAGCGGGAAGAGCUCAAAUUUGAAAGCUGGCACCUCCGGUGUCCGCGUUGUAAUCUCGAGACGUGUUUUCCGUGCGGCUCUAUGGACAAGUCCCUUGGAAUAGGGCAUCGUAGAGGGUGAGAAUCCCGUACUUGCCAUGGAAGAACCGUGCUUUGCGAUACACGCUCUAAGAGUCGAGUUGUUUGGGAUUGCAGCUCAAAAUGGGUGGUAGACUCCAUCUAAAGCUAAAUAUCGGGGAGAGACCGAUAGCGAACAAGUACCGUGAGGGAAAGAUGAAAAGCACUUUGGAAAGAGAGUUAAAAGUACGUGAAAUUGUCGAAAGGGAAGCACUUGAAGUCAGCCAUGCUGCUUGAGACUCAGCCUGGCCUUUGGGCUUGGUGUAUUUCUCGGUGGCAAGCCAGCAUUGGUUUGGGUCGUCGGAGAAGCGCAUAGGGAAUGUAGCGUUUCCGGACGUGUUAUAGCCUUAUGCAGGAUACGACGACCUGGAUCAAGGAACGCAGUGUGCCCUCUGGGCGGGUCUUCGGACACCUUCACACUUAGGAUGCUGGCGUAAUGGCUUUAAGUGGCCCGUCUUGAAACACGGACCAAGGAGUCUAACAUGUGUGCGAGUUUUUGGGUGGCAAACCCAUGAGCGUAAUGAAAGUGAAUACAGGUGGGAUCCGCAAGGAGCACCAUCGACCGGCCCUGAACUUCUGGGAUGGGUCUGAGUAAGAGCAUAUAUGUUGGGACCCGAAAGAUGGUGAACUAUGCCUGAAUAGGGCGAAGCCAGAGGAAACUCUGGUGGAGGCUCGCAGCGGUUCUGACGUGCAAAUCGAUCGUCAAAUUUGGGUAUAGGGGCGAAAGACUAAUCGAACCAUCUAGUAGCUGGUUCCUGC